GAAUUAACUGAUCGAAGGCAAAUAAGACCAAAUUCUGAGCCUCAAAUAGAUAGUACCAUUUUUGCUGGGGCUUUAUCAUACAGGUUUUCUUCUAGUUUGUACCGCCACCCAAGAAAUGUUUUAGGUAAAUGAACCUCCAGACCAGCUGAGGGACUAGAGAAGGUCCCUACCUAGUCCCGCGAUUGGCAGUUUGGCUGGCCCCUCAAAUUUGAUUUUGCCUAAAGUCAUACAAGAUAAACUAGCCCUUCUCAAGAAGCCCUUCCCUCAAAACAACAGAAACGGCAUUGGAAAAAGAAGUUGGAAUUAACCAGUAUGUGCUCUUUCAUAGUAAGACAAUCCUCAUCUUCUGAUCUCUCAAUAGUUGGAUAUUUAUUAUCUCAAGAAAGUCGUCAAAGUAUCAGAAAAAGAAAGAAGUAUGUUAAUGAGGCAUUAUAAUGAUAUUAUGUAGAAAUUUAAGUCUUGUAAAAAUUUGGAAACAAAGAAAAUGAAAAAUACAUACUUUACAAAUAGGUCUUAGAAGAUUGAAAAAUAAAAUAAUAUCAAUGCAUCAGUUAAUUGAUUACUUAAGAAAAAUCUUUGAUAAGUGAAUCAACUGAAUUGACCAUUCAGGUAUGAAUAUAGGCUUCCUUAGCUGAACCAGUACAAAGUAUUUUUGAAAGAAUGUUAAAAGGACCUGCCACACAAAAAUCCAAUCUUCUGCUACUAUCCUUUGCUUUAACAUUGUCAUUUUAUUCGCCGAAAACAUAGAAUUUAUAAGGGAUACAUAAACUGGCCCAGAGUUUUCUUAGGAGGCCUCUAAAUUCCAUUUAGUUUUCAACAAUAUUUUUGAUAUUUUUAACUCUCAGAAUGGAUUUACAAAAUAUUCAUAUAAAAAAAUUAUCAAAAAUAUAAGAACAACAUACUUUUUAAUAAUUUUGAAAUAAUUAAAUUGUAUAUUAUUGGACUUACUUUAAAAGAAAGGUCAACCAUAGUCACAAAGAAAAACGGGAUUUUUGGGCUUUCUAAUUUGUAUGGAAAGCUUACAACGUAUGUAUAAAUACUAUGUAAAAGAAAAUCAAUUAUUGAAAUAUAUUUUGACUAACUGGUGGAGGUCCACGUAUACAAAAAGCAAAAACGGAAGAUAAUAAUAUAUUCAAUUAAUGUAAAAAUGAGAAGAGCAUUGUGGGAUUAAAAAACAUGAUGGUGAUAGAUUGUCUAAAACUAAUAGGAGUACUGGUAUUUCUCAAAACAAAACUGAUGGUUACAAAGAAACAGAAGAAAAGGGAUGAUACUAAUUUACUAGACAAAAGGCUGUUCUUUUGUAAUAUGGAGAUGGGCAAAAUUCAAAGUAGUAGUAUUCAAAACAGAGAAGAACAUAAGCUAAAGAAAAAAAGGGUUGUUAGACAUUGAAAUAAAAAAAGAACAGUAAAGUUCUCAAAGAGAACUUAUUUAAUAAUUUUAAUUAGUGUUUAUAUUGUCAUGUAAAAAAUGUAAUAUAUGUUAUUUCUGAAUAAAAGACAUUUAAUAAUGA